UGGAGGAAGGUUCUUUGAGAGAAUUUCUAGCCAAGCCAUAUACAGGUAAUCGGACACUGCUCCUUUUCUUGCCACUGGCAGACUCCUGUUCAGAUAGACAGAAAAUCAGCAUUAAUGUUACUAAGAAAAAGGGAGACAUUCAUUCUCACUUAAAUAUUAAGCAGAAAAUGUUGGCUGUUCAUAUGCAAAUCAGAAUGUUCAUAAUUAGUCUGUAUGAUUAUUUUCAUCUUAGAAAGCGCAGAGCUAACACCAGGUCUUAAUUUUGCAAACUCUUGGCUUAACGUGGCUAUUUGGAGUGAAAAUGAACUGCUUGAAAAUAUCUUUCUCCUGAAUAGCUAAAGAAGCAUUUUGAGCACCAUAAAGCUGCACACACAGUGAAAUGGAGGAAAAAAAAAAAAAGGUACAGUGCAUGCACUUUUUUGCAGUCCGUCACUAUCUCCUGAUUUGUAGAUACUGUAAGAUGGAAGGUUGGAUGUGUGAUUCCAUUUAUGGUAAAUAUUACACGAUCACUCCUAUUUUGAGACCCAGUUAAAAGGGCUAAAGAGGUUUAUCUCUGCAUCGGAAAUACUGAUUUAUUGACUAUGUUUAAGAAACUGUUUAAACUUUCUGAAAACUGGUCUGAAAAUGAGUUUUUGUAUAUUUAUUGGUGAGAUUUUCCUUUAUGCAAUUCGUCAGCUUAUUCAGUUUCACAUAACUUCAAGUCAAUCUUGGCUAACAACUCUAUUGAUAAUGUGCAAACCAAAAUAAUAUUUUCUCACGCUUUUUGUUCUUAAUAGCUUGAGGGAGAACAGGAGAAAGGAAGCAUAAUGAGUAUUUCCUACAGCUCAACAUACAAGAAACGAGCUCCUGAUAAAUGCCUGCUGCUAAAUAAUGCAUUUUGUCUGUAGAUCUUCUUGAUACCUCCAGGAGCUGCAUGCACAGCCAGAUGUAAUAGACUCUGCAGGUGAAAAUUCUGAAAAUACUUAUCUGCAUACAAGCAUAGCUUCAGAUGGCCUUAUCAACUGAGAGCUUGUUUUUAAGUCUAUGUAGUGAAUGGGAGCAGGCAGGAGUUGUGUUCAAGGUCUUCUACGUCAGGAGGAUGUGCUAUUCUGGACUCUAUUAUGGCCACCAAGGAAUGUUUGCACAGGAGAGGCCUCAUUCCAGGAGCUUCUUUGUGGCUCGGGAGCUUUGGCCUUGGAACUGAAGUCCAAUUUUUGCAUGUUGGGAAGAGGAAGCUGAAUUCAUCUCUGGAAGCCUUAACACAGAGUGCCCAUGCCUUUUGCAGCAGUGUUUGUUUAGAUACUGGAAGUACCAUCUUAUACAACUGCUUUAUUGCAAGAGGAGAGUGAGAGCUUGACAGAACAGCCACAGCAAGACAUUUAGGUGCCCCUGGACCUCCUUUCCCUUUCUCCUCAGACUCCUUUCUUCUGUCACAGCUAUCUCCUGAGAUGUUGGCUCCCGCGAGAAUGCCAGUGGCAGCUGGGAAAAAGAUGGCAAACACUGAGAAAAAUCCUUCUCCACUUCUGAAAUCUGGUCCAAAGUUUUCUGCAAAUAUUGAUGCUGCAAAUACAGUUCUAAGCUUUUGUCACAGCAAAAUAUGAAAAGAGGAGUCCUAUUCUAGAACUGAUUCCUACAUUCUGAGGUAUUUCCAUUUG